UACGUAGGGUGCGAGCGUUAAUCGGAAUUACUGGGCGUAAAGCGUGCGCAGGCGGUUCGUUAAGUCAGAUGUGAAAGCCCCGGGCUCAACCUGGGAACUGCAUUUGAAACUGGCGGGCUUGAGUAUGGCAGAGGGGGGUGGAAUUCCGCGUGUAGCAGUGAAAUGCGUAGAGAUCCGGAGGAACACCAGUGGCGAAGGCGACACGCUGGGCCGUACCUGACGCUAAAGCGCGACAGCAUGGGGAGCAAACGGG
rnacentral:rRNA from 1 species